UACGUAGGGUGCGAGCGUUAAUCGGAAUUACUGGGCGUAAAGCGUGCGCAGGCGGUCUGUUAAGACCGAUGUGAAAUCCCCGGGCUUAACCUGGGAACUGCAUUGGUGACUGGCAGGCUUUGAGUGUGGCAGAGGGAGGUAGAAUUCCACGUGUAGCAGUGAAAUGCGUAGAGAUGUGGAGGAAUACCGAUGGCGAAGGCAGCCCCCUGGGUCAAGAUUGACGCUCAUGCACGAAAGCGUGGGGAGCAAACAGG
rnacentral:rRNA from 1 species